AAAUUUUCAUAAUCUGUGGGCCUGACAGGAUCUGCCCAAUGGUACUGGAGGAGCCAGCAGAAGAAUUCCUUCAUGAAAGGGCUGUCAGGCACUGGGAGGGGUUCCCUGGGGCAGCCCCAUCCCUGCUGAUGUUCAGGAGGUGUGUGGACAUGGAGAUGAGGGAUGUGGUUUGGUGGUGGGAUGCAGUAGGGCAGCUUGGUGGCUGGACUCGGUGAUCUUAGAGACCGUUUGCAGCCCAGAUAAUUCUGUGGUUGUAUCAUUUUUGAAUUGAGGGCUUAUACCAAUUGUUCUUUCAGCUCAGUUUUCCUCUGUUAAUUUCUUUUUCAUGUCAAACACACUUUGGAGGUACCACGCCAGAACCCAUUCUAACAUUUCUGUAAGCUUGGUGUGAUGGCUUAGUUGCCAGCCAACAGUCAACAUACUGGUAAUCACUGCUCCUUGUUCCAAGUGGCCCUCCCAGGACCAGCAAGGAGCUGCAAAGUGGGGCCUGAGCUCUGCAGGUGGUGGCAGCAGCUCACAGCAGCGUGUGGCAGUGCAUGGCAGCACAUGGCACCAUCCAGCUUGCUGAGCACAUUGCAAGAGGGGACGUGCUGCAGAGCUAGGCCUCGCCAGCACCAGUGGGACCUUUUUUUGCUAAUACUACUUGUAGUGGCAAUGCUAAGUCACGGCCUGAAACAGUGAUUGAGCACCUGGUGGGAAGGCAGGGUCAGCCCAGGGGAGCUCAGCUGCAUGCAAUGCACAUGAGAGACUGAAGGGGUAGGAGCAAGGAUCACCCUUCCCAGACGUCAUUUAAGUGUUGGCAGUGGAGGUGAGGGCAUUUCUUGCUGGAGAUCCCUGCCUACCCGAGGCUUUCUAAAGUCUGCUGUUCUCUGUUUGGAGCCUGUACUGCACAUGAAGAAAGGAAAAGUAACUGGAACGCAACCCCCAGCCAUGUCCACUAAUUCUUGUGGGGAAGGGCUUUUGGACUGAGAAGUCGGACGGCUUAACCGGGCACACACGAAAGCGUGAUUUCAACAGCUCAGUACUGGCAGAGGCACAAAGCGCUAUUUCUCUGCCGCCCCUCUGCCCUGAGCUGCAGCAGUACCGCAGUUGAAAGCGCGGACGGGCCUUCAGGAGAGACUGAAGUCUGCUUACAACUGGGGAGCUGCUGCGUUUCGGACCUUCCUUCGUGCCCCGCUGUGCGCGGGCGGCCGCGUCCCCUGUAGGCGGCAGCGGUGAUCGCGGUGCGGGCGGGCGCUGCUCCGUGAGCUCCAGGCCGCGCCCUGCGGCACGUGGGGCGGCGAGGGCGCUUCAGGUUUGGGUCCUGAGUGCUUGGCUCGCGUUUCCUCGUAAUUUUGGGUCUGCUGCUUUUCUGCACGGGUUCGUGGAGUUGGAGUAAGAUCGUCCUUCGGGACAGUGCGCAGCAGAUCGGGAGCGUGCUCGUGUAAACGGAAUGCUGAGGUGCUCUGGAAGCGCUCCUGUUUGAGCGCCUGUUUUCCUUCCGGCUCAGGAGCAGCGCUGGACGAGACCCACCUCCCUGCACGGAGAUGAAGAAAAUCAUAAUAUGUUUGAAGUAAAAGAACUGCAAACAGGGAGGUUUUCAUAGAGCCAUUUCUUUAAAGUUAAGACGACGUUCAGAUCGAAAGUGAAGGGUUAUUCAGGAAAGCACUCAAUCGUAUGGCUACAGCAAUGGAGCAGACCCGUUCAGUCUCAGCUCGCAGCAGCACAAAUAGGGGUGCAGUGGGAUUCAUCAGGCCAGUGCCUCCUCCUGGAGCUGAGCGCAAGCCCAGGCUCCUGGAUCGUGCCAUCCCGGACGUUUAUUUUUCUGAAACGUAAACCUAUGCACUCCUCUUUGUGGAUGCAGAGUUUGCUAUAUUCUGUCAAGCCUGCAGCGAUUGCUUACGGGCCACAGAUGGAUGCCUCAGCUCACUGGGGAGACACGUCCUGUGAUGUGUGCUGCUUGUUCACAGCUGAUCUCGAAAGGAGCUGACAUAAGGGCAUUAAGGAGCAUGGUUUUACAGAAAUGCACUCCCUGCAUUUCUGACUGAAAGGGCAUGUGCUGAGUAGUUAACUGAGCAGAGACCGAAGUGUUUGAGAGGUUUGUACUCAAGCCUGGGCUGCAGGGCUGCAGUCAGUGCAUGCUUUUAGCUUGAAUUUUCACUUCUUCGUUCUGGAAGGAAGAAUGGGAGAAAUGUUCUGGGUGCAAAUUCCGUGUGCAUCUCAUGCCAUCUGCUAAUAGCAUGUGUGAGCUGUUCUUCUGCCAGAAACCAGGAACAAAGAUAACAUCACUGCAGAGAGAACUGCCCUGCUCCCAAGUGAGGCUGGUACUGCAGGAAGCUGCCACUGGUCCUGAGCACAUUCACCAGUCUUGAGAGUCUGCUGUGCCACAGCUGGAUGCUCAUCUGUCCAAGAACCAGGCAUUUCUCUGCCUUUCCGCAGCCUGCAAUACAGUCAGGAUAAGGAUACUAAGGGAUAUUAGCAGCUGCCAAACUGCCAGGAGCUGUUGCUCAAUGAACAAGUCUGUGGUGUUUGGUGUGAACCGACGGGUAACUGUGAGCAGCUACUUAAAUAGCUCCAGCGAUGUUUGGAGAAGGCUGUUCCCUGACACUGGCUAAAAUCUGAGAAUAAACAUCUUGCCACAGGUGACCACCUGAUCUGUGCAUAUGGGCCUAAAAAAAGGUUUGUUAAGUUUAAGCACCUCAAAAUAAAGCUCAGCAGACACCAGACGCCAAUAGUUGUGUCUGCUUCAGCACUUAGCUUAGUGCAAGAUAUAAAAAGCAGCAUUGUACAAGGGCUUUGUAGUGGUGGAGUGCAUGGCUGGGGCUCCUGUGGUGUUGCAGGGCGACCACAUAACGCUCAGUCAGUCUGUAGGGCACUGCUGAGGAGACUGCGGGGCUUUAAAUAUAGGCAUUAAAUACCACACUGACAGAACGAUGAAGAAGCGGUGAGGCCCGCGAAGGGAGGGAUGGAGAAACCCAAUGGCUUAUUUUGUUUAAUGUUUUUUGCAAAUAGAGUGAAUGUCUGCUUGGCAACCUGUGCUUGCAGGAACAUGGCCCCACUCCGUGCAUCGGGUGAACCCCAGGGGCUUGUGAGGACAGCCCUGUGCUGCUCCAGGCUGCCAGCUCAGCUCAGGCCCUGGGGAACACGCAUGUGCAGAAGGGCUGCGUGGCUGCGCGAGGCCGUGCAGCCCAAGUGUGCUUUCUGUGUUCAGCUGGAGCUUCUCCCCACCUGAAGCACAGGCUGGGAGUCGCAACACAGCCCAGCUGCCUGUGCUCCCCCCCCGAGCUCUAGUAAGAUCCUGAGGGCCAGCACAGUGGCCAAAGCAGGGGCACAGCAGGACCCUACGCCUAAACCCUCCCUGUGGGCAUGGAGCAGGCUUGGCCCGCAUGCUUGGCUUGCCUACUGUUCCUUUUGCACUAGGCUGCCCAACUGUUUGAAACAGCAGGUGAUAGAGGGGAUGGUGCUGAGACUGUUCUGCAUCUGUGAGAGUUGAAAAGUUCAUGGUGACAGCUGAGAUAAAGGCAGCAGUGCUCCACGCCCUGCCCCGCAGCACCCAGCCCAGUGCAGCCCCGCGGCCUCACCCCUCCGCCAAGCCUCUGACUUAAAAUUCACAGCUAUGUAUAACAUUGGUGUGUAAUUAUUGCUUGUUAGGACAGGAAAGUAGAGUAGGUCCAGAAAUAAGCUUGUGCUUUUCCGAAUUAACCUUGAAUUAACCCCAUGGCUUUUUGAACAUCGAGAGAAAUGUCCAAAUGCUGCCUGCCCACCCCAUGGCAGCACACAGGCUCUGCUGCUUCCUCCUCCCAGUGGGUCACACCAGUGCCACGGCCCUCCUCUCACCCGCUGCACUGAGCUGCUUCCUCCUCAAAUCUCCUCCUCUCAGUGCUUCUCCUCUGGUAUCAUUCCAGUUAUCUCUGUUCAGCCUCGGUUUGUAGAUAGCAAUGAAUGGUCUUAGAGAAGCAGAGGGCUGGGGAUUGUACCUGGGUCACUUGUAGAUUCUGGCGUUGCAUGGUGAACUUAAAGCUGUUUUGCAAGGAACUUAGAGAGAGCCAGCUCUGAGUCAAAAGCUUAGCUGAAGGUCUCUGUUAGCUAACGCCCAGCGAAGCCCAGGGCAAGGCAGGCUGGGUUUUGCCAGUCUGUGGAAUAGGGAACGCUGCAGGUGCUUCGUGAAACCCUGCAGGAGGAGCAAGCAGCAAAGAUGUGAGUAUGGCAGAGGAACGGAGAGACGUGUU